CUAGUAGAGCUAAGAACUCUUACAAAUCCGCUGGUUUGAUCCUGUCACUCGGACUUUAAGGCAAAAUAUAUAUAUAUCUACCCGUAUUUUUUUCAAAAUACAUUUUCCUUUUUAACUUUGGGCGCCGCCACUGGCAGCCCAAUAUUAAUACACACCUCAUACUGGGCGCCGCCCCCGGCAGCCUAAUAUUUUCACCUGCUCUGGGCGCCGACACUGGCAGCCAAAGCACUUCCUUCCUGACUUCCAAAAUUCAUGCCGAGAAGCCGAAGGGCAGGUAAAAAGGCCCAAUUACGUCGGGUCCUUCGUACGAUCCAUGAGGAUCUCGGUCGUUCAGUUCACCAACGCCGCCGCCUAGAAAUCGUUGCCGAGGAAGUUCUUCUCGAUCCAGUGACGUUGGUUAUUCCAAAUUCGGGUAUCGCGUUAAGUGAGGUUCGGGAGUUGUCGAGCUCUUGUGUCGUUGAGCCAUCGAGCUCUUGUGUCGUUGAGCUGUCGAGCUCUUGUGGUGUGGUCCAACAGCUGGAGUCGCUCGUCCUUACGGAGGAACCGAGCCUUCAAAGCUCUUCCUGUGCAGAGGAGGAUUCACGGGCGAACCCAGUCUUCUGGACUGGUGUCAGUGAGGGUUGGCAGUUGGAUCCAGUGGACAUUCCAUCCGUCCAUCCACCCAGUGGGAGCAUCCCUUUUCACGACCCUCGUUACGGGUAUUACUCCGAGGCCUACUUCAAGGCCACCGGCCGAGACGCGUACGCACCAGCGGAGGCGAAGAAGUUACGCAAGAAAGGGAUUAUUUGGGCUGACUUAUGGGGCCCAUAAUCUCCACCAUGAUUUAGUAAAAAAUAGUAUGUACACUUAGGAAGGCUAGUAGGACAUCCCAACCCGCAUGCUUGCCACCCUCACUUUCAGCUCGAGAAGACAAUCACAGAAGCAUGUUGAAAUGGUCUAAUUCCUUUUCUAGCCUCAAAAAUAACCAUAUGUUGUUCCAACCAACUAUUUGUACAUGCAUUAUUGAUUUUUAAUUGGCUCAUUUUGGCUGGAUUCAGACAUUGGAAGUCGAAGCUUCAAUUCAGGUAAUUAUGAAAAAUAUAGUGUGUACCUUAAGAUAAGAUGACAACUUGGCCGCUGCAUCUCUCAUACACGACAUAACAUUUUUUGUUUUCAAUUAUU